rnacentral:rRNA from 1 species
GAUGAACGCUAGCGGCAGGCCUAACACAUGCAAGUCGAGGGGUAGAGGAAGCUUGCUUCCUUGAGACCAGCGCACGGGUGCGUAACGCGUAUGCAAUCUACCUUUUCCAGAGGGAUAGCGCAGAGAAAUUUGGAUUAAUACCUCAUAGUAUCUUUGCCUGGCAUCGGGAGAGUAUUAAAGUUCCAACGGUUAAAGAUGAGCAUGCGUCCUAUUAGCUAGAUGGUAAGGUAACGGCUCACCAUGGCAACGAUAGGUAGGGGUCCUGAGAGGGAGAUCCCCCACACUGGUACUGAGACACGGACCAGACUCCUACGGAAGGCAGCAGUGAAGAAUAUUGGACAAUGGGCGCAAGCCUGGUCAAGCCAUGCCGCGUGCAGGAAGACGGUCCUAUGGAUUGUAAACUGCUUUUGUACGGGAAGAAACACUCCUACGUGUAGGAGCUUGACGGUACCGUAAGAAUAAGGAUCGGCUAACUCCGUGCCAGCCGCCGCAGUAACAC